ensembl:lncRNA
UGAGAGAAUGAGAGAGGGAGGUCAGACAGAAGUGAGAGAGGGAGGUCAGAGAGAAGUGAGAGAAUGAGAGAGGGAGAUCAGAGAGUAGUGAGAGAAAAAGAGAGGGAGGUCAGAGAGAAGUGAGAGAGUGAGAGAGUGAGGUCAGACAGAAGUGAGAGAAUGAGAGAGGGAGGUCAGACAGAAGUGAGAGAGGGAGAGAGGGAGGUCAGAGAGAAGUGAGAGAAUAAGAGACAGAGGUCAGACAGGAGUGAGAGAAUAAGUGAGGGAGGUCAGACAGCAGUGAGAGAAUGAGAGAGGGAGGUCAGACAGAAGUGAGAGAAUGAGAGAGGGAGGUCAGAAGAGUGAGAGAAUAAGAGAGGGAGGUCAGAGAGAAGUGAG